rnacentral:misc_RNA from 1 species
CUAAGGAUUAAUUCGGAAUGUAGAUCAUGGAUCUACACGUUGACGUUUUGCGUUCAGUUUUGAAGGUUCAUCUUUAGGAUGAUUCUUUCAAAACUUGUUCAUUGAAAACUGGAUAAAACGACAUUGAAAUUGUACAAGUCAAGAUAAACCGAGUAAAUCAUUUAUGAUUUACUUAUGCAAUACCUUUUUACGUGUAUGCUGUUUUGCAUCGCUGCAAACACAUACACACUACUGAGGUUUUCGAGACACAAGCAAAUCUAGGAAGCAAACGAGAGAGGAAAGGCGCGUGCUUACGUACGUAACUGACCGAACGAGUGAAGCUGACGACGAGUUGCGCUGUGUAUCGUAAACCUCAU